rnacentral:rRNA from 1 species
GCUGGCGGCGCGCCUAACACAUGCAAGUCGAACGAGAAAGUGGAGCAAUCCAUGAGUACAGUGGCGUACGGGUGAGUAACACGUGGGUGAUCUACCUCUUAGUGAGGAAUAACCCUGGGAAACCGGGGCUAAUACCGCAUAAGCCUUAGCAGGGAAAGUCGAAAGACGCUGAGAGAGGAGCCCGCGGCCGAUUAGCUAGUUGGUGAGGUAAGAGCCCACCAAGGCAGAGAUCGGUAGCCGGCCUGAGAGGGCACACGGCCACACUGGCACUGAAACACGGGCCAGACUCCUACGGGAGGCAGCAGUGGGGAAUCUUGCACAAUGGGGGAAACCCUGAUGCAGCGACGCCGCGUGAGCGAUGAAGCCCUUCGGGGUGUAAAGCUCUUUCGGCAGGGAAGAUAGUGACGGUACCUGCAGAAGCAGCUGCGGCUAACUACGUGCCAGCAGCCGCGGUAAUACGUAGGCAGCAAGCGUUGUUCGGAGUUACUGGGCGUAAAGGGUGUGUA